GACGAACGCUGGCGGCGUGCCUAAUACAUGCAAGUAGAACGCACAGUUUAUACCGUAGCUUGCUACACCAUAGACUGUGAGUUGCGAACGGGUGAGUAACGCGUAGGUAACCUGCCUGGUAGCGGGGGAUAACUAUUGGAAACGAUAGCUAAUACCGCAUAAUAUUUAUUAUUGCAUGAUAAUUAAUUGAAAGGUGCAAUUGCACCACUACCAGAUGGACCUGCGUUGUAUUAGCUAGUAGGUGAGGUAACGGCUCAACUAUGCGACGAUACAUAGCCGACCGGAAAAGGUGAACGGGCAAACUGGGAAUGGGACACGGCCCAGACUCCUAAGGGAGGCAGCAGUAGGGAAUCUUCGGCAAUGGACGAAAGUCUGACCGAGAAACGCCGCGGGAGUGAAGAAGGUUGUCGGAUCGUAAAGCUCUGUUGUAAGAGAAGAACGGGUGUGAGGGUGGAAAGUUCACACUGUGACGGUAUCUUACCAGAAAGGGGCGGCUAACUACGUG
rnacentral:rRNA from 1 species